rnacentral:rRNA from 1 species
UACAGAGGGGGCGAGCGUUAUUCGGAAUUAUUGGGCGUAAAGGGCGCGUAGGCGGCCUUUCAAGUGACGGGUGAAAUCCCUCGGCUUAACCGAGGAACUGCCUGUCAGACUGGAAGGCUUGAGACAGGGAGAGGUGAGUGGAAUUCCCAGUGUAGCGGUGAAAUGCGUAGAUAUUGGGAGGAACACCAGUGGCGAAGGCGGCUCACUGGACCGGUACUGACGCUGAGGCGCGAAAGCCAGGGGAGCAAACGGG